UACGUACUGGGCGAACGUUAUUCGGAAUCACUGGGCUUAAAGGGUGCGUAGGCGUCUUUCCAGGUCUGAUGUGAAAUCUCACGGCUCAACCGUGAAAUUGCGUUGGAAACCGGAAAGCUUGAGUGUGCUAGGGGUGUGUGGAACUUCCGGUGGAGCGGUGAAAUGUGUGGAUAUCGGAAGGAACGCCGGUGGCGAAGGCGACACACUGGGGCAUAACUGACGCUGAGGGACGAAAGCUAGGGUAGCGAACGGG
rnacentral:misc_RNA from 1 species